GACGCACGCUGGCGGCGUGCCUAAUACAUGCAAGUAGAACGUCUGAAGGAGGAGCUUGCUCUUCUGGAUGAGUUGCGCACGGGCUGAGUAACGCGUAGGUAACCUGCCUGGUAGCGGGGGAUAACUAUUGGUAAACGAUAGCUAAUACCGCAUAACAGUAGAUGUCGCAUGUACAUUUGUCUUAAAAGGUGCAAUUGCAUCACUACCAGAUGGACCUGCGUGUGUAUUAGUCUAGUUGGUGAGGUAACGGCCCACACAAGGCUAACGAUACAUAGCACGACCUGAGAGGGUGAUCGGCCACACUGGGACUGAGACACGGCCCAGACUCCUACGGGAGGCAGCAGUAGGGAAUCUUCGGCAAUGGACGGAAGUCUGACCGAGCAACGCCGCGUGAGUGAAGAAGGUUUUCGGAUCGUAAAGCUCUGUUGUAAGAGAAGAACGGAUUCGUGAGAGUGGAAAGUUCACACUGUGACGGUAUCUUACCAGAAA
rnacentral:rRNA from 1 species